GUCCAGGUCGGAGCCCCUCGCUCCGCCCCCACAGACCCCUGAACCGCAUCCCUGCAGCGAGGUCUUCUGGCUUCGGGAACCCCCUUAGGCUGUGACCCUGCGGCCCCGGGCCCGCGCUCGCAGAGGCCUCCUGCGGCUCCGGAGAGCCCGCGCGUUUUCUCGCUAAUUGACGGAGUGUUUUUACCAGUGAGGAUGCGACGUUCAGAGCUCUGAGAAAAGUCCUGCCAGCUACUGUGCACAGAGCCUGCCCAACUGAACGAGGGGCAGACCCAGAGGACCAGUCACGCAGCGGGCGGAGGUCUGAAGGACAAGCUUCCAAGAGCACGACACCUCCAUUUCACAGCUGAACUCUGAGAAAACACAGAAAAAUUAGCACAUUUUUUUUGGAUCCAGCUGAUAACUACGCCAGCAGACCUCACCUCAGGUGCUAAUGUGCUCUUCUCUCCUUGUUAAUCAGCGCAUCAGUCUUCUGUGCCACCGAGGCGGGGCCGCUGGAGAGCACGU